rnacentral:rRNA from 1 species
CUGAACGCCUCUAAGUCAGAAUCCGUGCCGGAACGCGGCGAUACUGCCCCGCACGUCGUAGUUGGAUACGAAUAGGCCUCCGGGCCACGCACCUCAGCAGGCUGGCGACGGCGCCCCGGGAGAAACCCUGGGGCGCUGGCUGGCGGAUUGUAAUGUCACCACGCGCGGGGAUGAAUCCUCUGCAGACGACUGAAGUGACCAAGCGGGUCGUGUACGCGGUCGAGUAGCCUAGUUGUUACGAGUCGCUGAGCGUCAGCCCG